rnacentral:misc_RNA from 1 species
UUUCCGUAGGUGAACCUGCGGAAGGAUCAUUAUUGAAUAACAAAGGUGUAAUGACUGUUGCUGAUCCGGGAGGUAGAAGGAGCCCGUAAGAAAAAAAACAAAUACAUAUAACCCCUAUGUGCGCCACCGCGUGGGUCUCCCUUUGGCUUGUUCGGAGGGGGGCUUACGUUUUCACUCAAUCUUUGUAUGCAGUGUUGAAUGUAUUUUUUGUUUUUGCGAUCACGCAAUCUAUACAACUUUCAACAACGGUUCUCUUGGUUUUCGUAUCGAUGAAGAACG